rnacentral:rRNA from 1 species
CCUACGGGAGGCAGCAGUGAGGAAUAUUGGUCAAUGGGCGCGAGCCUGAACCAGCCAAGUCGCGUGAGGGAUGAAGGUUCUAUGGAUCGUAAACCUCUUUUAUAAGGGAAUAAAGUGUGGGACGUGUCCUAUUUUGUAUGUACCUUAUGAAUAAGGAUCGGCUAACUCCGUGCCAGCAGCCGCGGUAAUACGGAGGAUCCGAGCGUUAUCCGGAUUUAUUGGGUUUAAAGGGUGCGUAGGCGGAAUAUCAAGUGAGCGGUAAAAAUUCGGGGCUCAACCCCGUCGUGCCGUUGAAACUGAUGUUCUUGAGUGGGCGAGAGGUAUGCGGAAUGCGUGGUGUAGCGGUGAAAUGCAUAGAUAUCACGCAGAACUCCGAUUGCGAAGGCAGCUUACCAAUCUAUAUCUGACGUUGAGGCACGAAAGCGUGGGGAGCAAACAGGAUUAGAUACCCGAGUAGUC